rnacentral:lncRNA from 1 species
GUUGCUUCAGUUUCGGAUGGCUACAAUGUCUGCAUAUUCGCCUAUGGACAAACUGGAACUGGAAAGACAUUUACUGUGGAGGGCAGCCCAGAAAAUAGGGGAGUGAACUACAGAACAUUGGAUGAGUUGUUCGGAGUUUCUCAAGAAUAUUAUGGUUGUCUUUUUGUUAGUAUGAUGGAGGUUUACAAUGAGAAGAUAGGGACCUCUUGAUUGAUAGUUCCAACCAACCGCCUAAAAAGUUAGUUUCCUCUUUUAUUGCUACUGUAUUGAUCUUAUAAUCAAAUAUAGUCAUUUAUAUCAAAUUUUUUGAUAGUUUGUUGCGAGUAACAGUGAAAGGAGAGAAUUUAAUAGAUGGACAAAAGACAAGAAGUCACCUAUGGAUGGUCGAUUUGGCUGGUAGUGAACGUGUGGGAAAGAUUGAUGUUGAAGGUAAAAGAUUGAAGGAAUCGCAAUUCAUUAAUAAAUCUCUUUCAGCACUUGGUGAUGUUUAUAUCUGCCCUCGCAUCUAAAACUGGCCACAUUCCUUACAGGUCUUUCUCUCACACAGUCACUCUUGUAACAUGCUAUCCAAUUACCAUAUUAAUGAAGAUAUUUGUUUUCUUCCGAUCAGGAACUCAAAGCUAACCCAUAUGCUACAGAGCUCUCUCGGUGAGUAUUAAGUUUACUAUUUUUUAUGGUUACCAGACAUUCUUAUUGUCUUGUUUGUCAGUAAAAGGUGAUAAGUGAAACAUGAAUGCAGGAGGAGAUUGUAAGACCUUGAUGUUUGUCCAAAUAAGUCCAAGCGCUACUGACCUUGGAGAGACGCUUUGUUCACUAAAUUUUGCGAGUCGAGUGCGAGGAAUUGAAAGUGGUCCUGCCCGCAAACAGGCUGAUCUCUCUGAACUUUUCAAAUACAAGCAAAUGGUAUAUAUAUACUGCUCGUAUUUGAUGAAAUUUCUUUUGUCUCAGUUUCUUUUAUCUUGAUUCUUAUUUUCUUUCCCGUUUCAAUUACAAAUAAUCAGGUAGAAAAGUUAAAGCAUGAUGAGAAGGAAACAAAGAAGUUACAGGAUAGCUUGCAAUCAUUGCAGUUGAGGCUUGCUGCUAGAGAACGUAUGUGCAGAACUCUCCAAGAAAAGGUAAUUCUGAUGGCUUGAGCUCCAUUUAAUGCUUUUUUUUAUUUAUUAUUACUAUGAAACAUGUGGAAAAUAUAUUGGAGAUGUUUUUUCGUUUUUCUUUUGCUUUUAUUGUCCCUUAAAUGGCAUUUUAAGUCAUUUUGUAGACUAACAAAUAACUUUUCUUACAAUAGGUUCGAGAGCUUGAGAAUCAAUUAGCGGAGGAAAGAAAAACCAGACUAAAGCAGGAAACACGAGCUUUUGCAUCAGAAGCCAUCUCUGUGUCCUUCAAAGUUAAGGUUGCUGUUGCGAAAAAUCACCAAUCUCAUGCCUCCACCAUGUCCUCUACAAAAAUAGAACCGGUUCUGUUUUAUCUUCAAAGCAUGACAAAGAAAACAAUCCAAGAACCACAGCUGCAGGAACAAAUACAAAAAGCCUUAUGAAACCCAGACGUAUGUCUGUUGCAGUCAGACCUCCUCCUCCAAUUUCAGCACAGGUUUUUCAGCCUAAGAGACGGGUGUCCAUUGCUAGCUAUCGUUUAGAGCCAACCUCAAACAUGACACCUCUUCAUGGGGAGUCAUUUGUCAUGGGGAGUCCUCCGCCACAAGCAGGUUCUUGGAAGCCAAAGCACCCAACAGUUGUUGCACUGCAACGAAAAUCUCUGGUGUGGAGCCCGCUAAAGUUAAGGAGCUUUCAAAACAGGAGACCAUCUUUGGUGCCCUAUCGAUCAUCAUCAACUAAUGAGGUGCAAUAAAACUUAGUCUUCAUUUUCAUGAUAAAUAGUAGGAGUAUACUUUUUUUUUCUUGAUUCCCCUCUUCCCAUUUUUCUUACAUGAAUUUUAUCAUUUCUCCUCUGGAUAUUAAUCGCAAUUGUAUGCUACUUGCCUACUCAUUCGCGGUUGUAUGUUAUUUGCUUUCCUACAUGAGUCAACAACUCCAUUCAACAGUGAGAAACACAGAAAAAAAAACACAGGAGUUUUUCGAUGCUUUAACUCAUCUUGGCCAGUGGGACAUCCUGCUUUUUGACUAAUUUAUACAAGAUAGAGCUCUACAUCAACAAUUCAUAAGAAAUUGGCAUGCCACUCUCUCAUCAAUUAUUUAAGAUAUGAUAGAGGAGAUAAGAAAAUGAUUGCUAUUAUCGACCAUCUUCCUCUCCAGUCUCUGUCUCAACUAAAAAUAGUUUAAGCAAAAGUCAUGUUAAUUCCCAGUAAUCCAAUCAACUGCUUUCGAGUUCUCCUAAUUAUUUAAGACACUUUAAAUUUAAUUAAUUUUAUUGUUUUAAGUAUCAACAAUUAUUGUUUUUUAUCUGUUCGUAAACAAUAAUAUAACAAAGGCUAGAGUGUGAGUGGAUGAAUCGCAACCUUUCAAUAACUUCAAGCCACAAAAUCUUAAUCUAAACCAAAACGCAACAUCUUAUAUGAUUUAAGAAUCAAUCGUAAAAGGACAUGUUAGUAACGAGUUUAAGGGCAUGUUUAUUUCUACAUUUCAAAAGUGUUUUCGAAAAAGAAUUGAAUUUUUUUAAUUUUUUAUUAACUUUAAAUUAAUAUGUUUUUAGUGUUUUUAAAUUAUUUUGAUGUGCUAAUGUUAAAAAUAAUUUUUUAAAAAUAAAAAAACAUUAUUAACAUGUAUUUUUACAUGAAAAAUUAUUUGAAAAGCAAUCGCAACCUGUUAAACAUACUUAAUGUUAUUAAAGGACAUGUACAAUUAAAGCUCUUUGACGUGAUUAGCCUAAUCAGUCAUUUUAAAUAUGUGAUCAAUUCAUAAUAAUAAAAAAUGGUAUAAAACAAUGUUGAUGUAAACUUUGAUUAAAAAUCAAUAACGUUAACGUGAAACAACAAUAAGUCUUUAUAUAAACUAAAUAAUAAAGAAGUAAAGUAGAUAUAUUUCAGAAUAAAAAAAUGAUUCUAAAAAUUUAAUAGAAUAAUAUGAUCUAUGCAAGGAUGACACAAGAAAAACUAGGAUUUUAAUGUAAAAUCAUUUAUAAAUUAGUUUUGUUUUAUUGAACAUAACUCUCAAUCUAAUUAUUAAAUAAAGAUAAAAUUUUAUGAGAAAUCUUCUAACCUAUUACUUUAUUAUAAGUUAAAAUUUUAGAUCAAGUUCAGAAAAAUUGUACAAGAAUGGACAAAAAAAUAACAUGUAAACUUAUUAAUGGUAUUUUUGUAAAUAAACUAGAUGAGCUGGAAAUUUCAAUUUCUUCUUCUCCUGGGCAAUCCCUACAGAAGAAAUUGUCCUUUUUUAUAUUGUGCUUCUCACAUGUCUUGAGAAAUGGGUUAUUCUCCAUCAUUAAUUACUACUAUCUCUUAUAUCAAACACUUUUUCAUGAUCCCCCCCUCAAAGAAGUAGCUCCUCCUUGCUAGAAAAUUAAUUGUGAAUUUUGAACAUUAUCGGCUAUGUAUGGAUGCAUAUAGUGAGUUUUUUUUUUAUUUAUUCUUUUUAAAUGCAUUUGUUUUUCAUUUACAUCCAUUAAAAUUGGGUUAAUUAAAUAUUAGACUUUAUAAUUCAUUUUGGUUUGUUUUCUAUGAAGAUAUCCCGACUUCAUGACUUGAGUCACUGGUUUGGUUGGUUAACUCAGGUUGACUCGAGUGGUUUUUCAUGUUUUUUGUUAAUUAUUUUUUUUUAUAAUUUUUUUUAAUAUUAGAUUGAUUAGGAAUUGAGUUUUCAAUAUUAGAUAAUUAUCUACUAUUAACUUUAAAUUAAAAUAGGAGAGGUUUUAACUGUACCCUUCGUCACUAAGCACUAUUCAUUGAAAUAAUGAUUUGCUUCUUUUUUUCUAUGCUUUUUUUUUUCAAUCAAUGUUUUUUUUUAAUUUUAUCAUUUAAUAUUAAAUUAUUUUUUUAUUGAAUUAUUUCACUUUCAUGAUACAAAUUGCCAGUCUAACGGUUGACCGGGUUGACUCAAUUUUUUUCUUCAAUUUCAUCACUUAAUAUUGGGUUGAUCUGAAAUAUGAUUUGUUUUGUUAACUUUCUAUCGUGUUAUUUUAGCCUCAUGGCCGGAGAAUCGUGCUUAACAAGUUAACCCAAGUUGACUCAAAUAGUUUUUUAUGUUUUUUUAAUUAUUAUUUUUUUAAUUUUAUCUUUCAACACUAAGUCAAUUGGAAAUUGAUUUUUAUAUAUAAAAAAAAUAUUUGCUUUCUAUAGAGAUAUCAAGGUUGCAAGUUUUGGUAUUUUAACACUAUUCUGUCAAUGGAAAUUUUACUAACUAAUUCACCGAUGGAAUGUUUUUGUUGGUAUACCAUUCGUCGGUAAUUCCACUAUUUGUCGCUAAUUCUAUCAGAAUUUUUUUAAAAAAAACAAUGGUUUUACAAACAUUUAUGAUCUUUCAUUCAAGUAGAAAAAGAACACACUUCUAUUUUAAAAGAUUCCGGAAGACCACCAGUAUCCAUAAGGAAAUCACCAGGAAAUGACUGCUUGGCUGUGUUCAAAAAUCAAAAGGGCACACAGCAAGUCAAGCGUACGCGUACACGACGCUUUAAAGUCAAGCUAGCGUUAAACACAAUAAUGAUUGAUAUUUUAAAACCAUAAACAUUCCUUCCUGGAAACCGACCUCAACUUUUCCUCACCGACAAAAGUAAAGAAAAGGAAAGGAAGAUUGAUGACUAAUUCCGUUUUGAAUUGAGGUUGAAAUUUCUUUUUUCGUUAAAAUUUAAUUUUUUUUAGUAUUUUUAUUUAUGGAUAUUAAAAAUAAUUUUUAAUAUAUUUUCAAAUAAAAAAAACAUUUUAUAACACUAUAACAUUAAUAAACCGGCUGCCGGCUGUAAGCGCUUCAAUGUUUUAUACAAUUUGUGGGGUUUGGUUGGAGAUAAUAAUUACCGCGUAUUCCUCCAUUAAUUCAACUUUUUAAAAUAAUUAAUUACAAAAAAAUGUUGAGUCUUUGUCUGGUGAGUACUCUAUUAAAUUAUUAAUUUUCAUUCCCAACUUAUAAUUGGUUAAUUAGAUAAUCUCCAUUUGCUCAGCGUAUGUAGUAAACAAUAUAUAGUAGUUUGAUGUUAUACACAUUCCUUCCAGGAAACUGACCUCAACGUCUCUUCCAUGGCACAUUAAGGCACACAGAGGGUUAAAGAUCAACAAGCUGCCCUUGAUUAAUAACUGGUACAACUUUCUUCCUAUUCGUCCAUUAAUUUCUCUCUGUUUUGGGUUAGAUUCCACUUGUUCGGCCAUUGCUGUAGCAUCAUUCAUGCUGUUUAUAUAUGUUAUUGAGUUUUCCCUUUUAGCUCAAAAUGACUCUGUAAUUAAUUAAGAUCUCAGCUAAUUUCCCACUGGCUCCUCUCUUUAUAACUUUCAUUGCUCUUCUGUUUGAGGGAACUCUCCAAGAUUCUUGAGUGCAUGGAGACCAAACAACAGAUGGUCUUACCAGUAUUUUACCGACUUGAUCCAAGCCAUGUUCAAAAUCUGACUGGGAGCUAUGGAGAUGCACUUUGCAAGCAUGAAAGAGAUUGCAGUUCUGAAGAAGUAGAGAGUUGGAGACGUGCUUUGAAAGAAAUAGCUAAUCUCAAGGGCUGGGAUUCAAACGUCAUUAAGUAAGUUAUUAAUUUAGUUACAGCAUAUUAAACCCCAACUUAUUUAAACCAUUUUGUUCGAGAAUCAAUAUUGUGUUUGAUGUUAUGAUAAAAUUUCUUAGGUCUUAGCCUUUGUUCUUUAUUUAUUAUGCACUGCAGGGAUGAGACCAAGCUAAUUCAGGAAAUCGUUUCCGACAUUCAAAAGAAAUUGAACCAUGAGCUGUCCCUCUCAUUUGAUUCAAAACGCCUUGUUGGAAUGGCAUCACGCGUUGAAGACAUCGAAUCAUUACUAUCCUUGGGAUCAACCGGUGUGCUCAUCGUGGGAACUGGGGGAUGGGUGGUAUAGGUAAGUCAACAACGGCUGAAGUUGUGUAUCAUCGAAACUGUAGUAAAUUUGAAGGCCAUUGCUUUUUCCAAAAUGUUAGGGAAGAAAAUUCUUGGUGAAGUAUUAGAGAAGAAAGAUAUGACUAUACGCACAAAAGUGCUACCCCCGGCCAUUAAGCGAAUGCUUCAAAGAAAAAAAGUCCUCAUAGUUCUUGAUGAUGUCAAUGAACCACAAGAUUUAAAAUAUUUAGUAGGAGAGGAUGGUUUGUUUGGCCAAGGAAGUAGAAUCAUGGUGACAAGUAGAGAUAGGCAAGUGCUUUUAAAUGCAUGUGAUGAAGACAAAAUUUACGAGGUUAAAAUUUUAGAUGAAGACGAUGCACUUCGACUCUUCAGCUUACAUGCUUUUAAACAAGAUCGAUCGUCCCAUAGAAGGAUAUACAAUGAAAGGAGUGUUGAAUACUGGGAAAGUAAGGUGGCACAGCUACGAACAAAUGGUAGCGAGGACAUUAAGAAACAUUUGGAAAUGUGUUAUCAUGAAUUAAAUCAGACAGAAAAAAAAAUAUUUCUUGAUAUAGCAUGUUUCUAUGGACAUUAAGAAACAUUUGAAGGGAUGUAUAAUUUAAGAUUGCUCAAAAUCUACUACCCAUCUUUCUUAGAGAAUCCCUCGAAGGAGCAAAUUAUGAAUGGAAAGAGGGUCGGAAUCCACCUUCCACGAGGGCUUCACUUUCUUUCAAGUGAGCUAAGGUUUCUUUACUGGUAUAAUUACCCUUUGAAAUCCUUGCCAUCAAAUUUUUUUCCCUGAGAAACCUUUUCAACUUGAAAUGCCUUGUAGCCAGCUUGAACAACUUUGGAAUGAAGGCAAGGUAAAUAUGCUUUAUCACCCUUCUUUUUCAAAUAUAGGACAAUUUUGAAAUUAUUGUAACAUUUAUCUUUUCUUACAUUAAUUUUUUUUUAUUUACAACCACUAGAGCUUCCCAGAUUCGAGAGUUUCUGUACUUUUCCAUCAUCAAUUGGGUGCCUCUCUCAACUUGUUAGAUUAAACUUAUCUUCAUGUGAAAGUCUUGCUAGUCUGCCAGACAAUAUUGGCGAGUUGAGAUCUCUCAAAUCGCUUAAUUUUAAUAGUCAUUCAGGAUUAGCAAGUCUACCAGACAACACUGACGCAAUGAAAUCCCUUAAAAAACUUGAUCUUAGUGGUUGCUCAGGACUAAAAAGUCUACCAGAUAACAUUGACACAUUGAAAUCCCUUAAAAUACUUGAUUUUAAUAGUUGUUCAGGACUAGCAAAUCUACCAGACAACAUUGGCAUGUUGAAAUCUCUUAAAAACCUUGAUCUUAGAGGUUGCUCAAGGCUAGCAAGUCUCUAAAUUCUUUGGCAUGAAAGAUCGCAUGUUUCAUUCACCUUGACCAAAAUGAUUUGUUCUUUUUUCAUUUUGCUAACAGUGCUUUGUUGCUUGUAAACAGAAUAUGGACAGAGUAAUGAAGUAUCAGUUAGAGGAGACGUAUACAGCUUCGGUAUCAUGCUGCUGAUACUCAGAUAAUCAGAUAAAUGUUGAAUGAGUUUGGUGAGAUGUUAUCAGAUAAUCAGCCUGCACUUGCACAUAUAAGAUGUUUGAGGCAUAGCUAUCAAGGUUUACAUCGUUUAUUCCUCUUCCUUGCUUGCUUUAACAAAAAUAAUAUUUAUGUUAUGCGUUGAGGAAUUUAGAGCUCCACCUGGAAACAUUUAUGGGGUUAAAAAAAAUUGAUAUUUCUCUAUAAUCAGCACAAGGCGAGUUGAGAAGUAAAUUGAUUAACACAAUUAACCGAAUUGACUCUCAAACUUUUAUUUUACUCUAAUUAAGUCCCUCGUUGUAUUAAUUAAACUAAUCCAAUGUUCAAACAAGUCCCUAAAACUUAUUAAUUCUUCCACUUUUAGCCAAAUUAACUUCCAACCUUAUUACUCUUUCAUUUUAGCACCUGAUUAAGCCCAUCCAAAGUACAAUUAGGUCCUUGGAUUCUUUGAUUUUUGCCAUUUAGCCCCCAUCUUCAGCUUUCUUCUUAAUGAAGCAUCUAUCAAAAUUGGACCGCUAAACUUUACAACCUUGUCCAUGUUGGUCCUCAAAUCUUUAAUUUAUUCAGCCUUAAUCACAUUUUCAAUCUGCUUUCUAAAUUUCUUCAACAAGACCUCAAAUUAUCCAUCUACCUAUCAACUAUAAAUUAAAUAUUUGUCCAAUCAUGAUUCAAUGCUUUAUUUUUUAUUACUGUUACUUUUUUUAAUUCAGAAUUGGGUGAAGACACAGAUAGUUGCAUGCAAACUGAAAUCUUGCCGUCCUCUAUGGAAUGUGAUCUAGCAAUAGUAUGAUCAAAACUUUUAGUAGUUAUUGCAAGUUUUCCUAAAAAAAUGUUCGAUGGUUUUGUUUUUAUAAUGUGUUCUUCUCCCUCUCUCUCCCUCUAAACAGUUAGGUGGCAGCAUUAAAUCUAUUUUAACUUGGAAUUGGUCUCUUUCUUGCUGCUUAAGAAAAAUGCAAAAGGUGAAAGAAAAGAAAUAAAAACUGAUUUUGAGUGAUCAAGUUCUCGAUGGGAUCAUUGUUCCACAAGAUCAAUGCCAUUGUUCCACAAGAUCAAUGCUCUCUCUGCCACCUACAAAGCAUCAGUUCCAUAAACUGUUUUUAACAAAGGAAAGAGCAAAGAAUAUAAGCUAUCAUCUCAACAAGUUUUUCAGUGAAAAACUAAGCCUUGGUGGCACACAGGCCUUGCUCCAGAUUGAACACCAAGUCUGGAUUAAAAACUCUGAAUCAUAUGUGAAGAGAAAAGUAGUAAAUUCUUCAUUCGAAACUUCAAUCAUGGUCUAAAAAGGGUUGUUUGGAAAAAGAUUCCGGAAGACCACCAGGAAAUUACUGCUUGGAUGUGUUCAAAAAUCAAAAGGGCACACAGCAAGUCAAGCGUCCUGUAAAAAUGAUUGCUACUUGGCGGUGAGGAAAAGUUGCUACUAUCAACUUUUCCUCACCGCUAAGUAAAGAAAAAGAAAAAGAAGAUAGAUGACUAAUCUUUUGGAAUUGAGGUUGAUUUUUGUUAAUUUUUGUUAAAAUUUGGAUUUGUUUAGUAUUGUUAAAAUUUAGAUUUGUUUAGUGUUUUUGAAUUAUGUCAAAAUAUUUUUAAAAAAUAAAAAAAAUAUUAUAUUAAUAUAUUUUUUAAAUAAACACUUUAAAAAUCAAACUUUAAAUGAUUCCGGAAUUUCCCUGGCUAAUUGUGGCUUACUUAAUGGGUUGUGAAAAUCUUUUUUGAAGAAAGGUUUAUGAGAUAUUGAGUUGUCAAGGACUGUUUCUGAAUUUGUACCUACCGAUAUACAGAUUCCAAGAAACCCUCCAAUACUGUGUUUGAAAUAAAGAUGAUGAGAGGAUCAAUGUGAACUCCCCCCCUUAAUUGUGAGUUGGCUAUAGCAUCGUUUAAGUUGUUUUGAUCUUCUCUUAUUGUCUGAUCAUUCUAAUACACUCUUGUUUGAUCAUAUUUAGCCUUUAUUUAUGGGAUAUAAAAUACUCUCCCAACUAGCUUCUCUCUUUAUUUAUCAGGUGUAAUUAAGAUCUCAACUAGCUAGUCUUUGAAUAAUUAUAUCGUUUGUUUUCUUAUUGCUUGUUACAGGGAAAAAUUAUCACAAGUAGAAAGCUUACUUCUACAUAUAUCAAGCAUAUAAAAAUAUGGCUUCCACUUCUUCUCCCACUACUCCAUAUUUGAAGCUUGAUGUGUUCCUCAGUUUUAGAGGCACAGACACCCGCAAUAGUUUCACCAGUCAUCUUUAUGAUGCUUUGGAUCGAAACCAAAUUGAUGCUUACAUCGAUAAUAAACUUGAUGGAGGAGAAAAGAUCGAGCCUGCCCUCUUGGAAAGGAUUGAAGAGUCAUGUAUUUCGCUAGUCAUUUUCUCUGAAAAUUAUGCAGAUUCUACUUUCUGUUUGAGGGAACUCUCCAAGAUUCUUGAGUGCAUGGAGACCAAACAACAGGUGGUGUUACCAGUUUUUUACCGACUUGAUCCAAGCAAUGUUCAAAAUCUGACUGGGAGCUAUGGAGAUGCACUUUGCAAGCAUGAAAGAGAUUGCAGUUCUCAAGAAGUAGAGAGUUGGAGACGUGCUUUGAAAGAAAUAGCUAAUCUCAAGGGCUGGGAUUCAAACGUCAUUAAGUAAGUUAUUAAUUUAGUUACAGCAUAUUAAACCCCAACUUAUUUAAACCAUUUUGUUCGAGAAUCAAUAUCGUGUUUGAUGUUAUGAUAAAAUUUCUUAGGUUAUGACAGCAUGUCUUUGUUCUUUAUUUACUAUGCACUGCAGGGAUGAGACCAAGCUAAUUCAGGAAAUCGUUACUGACAUUCAAAAGAAAUUGAACCAUGAGCUGUCACCCUCAUUUGAUUCAAAACGCCUUGUUGGAAUGAAAUCACGCGUUGAAGACAUCGAAUCAUUACUAUCCUUUGGAUCAACCGGUGUGCUCAUCGUGGGAAUCUGGGGGAUGGGUGGUAUAGGUAAGUCCACAACUGCUGAAACUGUGUAUCAUCGAAACUGUAGUAAAUUUGAAGGCCAUUGCUGUUUCCAAGAUGUUAGGGAAGAAUCACGGAAGCAUGGAGUAGAUCAUGUACGACAGGAAAUUCUUGGCAAGGUAUUAGAGAAGAAUGAUCUCAAAAUACACGGAAAAGUGCUACCCUCGGCCAUUAAGCGAAUGCUUCAAAGAAAAAAAGUCCUCAUAGUUCUUGAUGAUGUCAAUGAUCCACAACAUUUAAAAUAUUUAGUAGGAGAGGAUGGUUUGUUUGGCCAAGGAAGUAGAAUCAUGGUGACAAGUAGAGAUAGGCGAGUUCUUGAAAAUGCAUGUGAUGAAGACAGAAUUUACGAGGUUAAAAUUUUAGAUGAAGACGAUGCACUUCGACUCUUUAGCCUACAUGCUUUUAAACAAGAUCGUCCCAUAGAAGAAUAUAUUGGGCUAUCAAAAACUGUGGUAAGCUGUGUUAAGGGCAUUCCAUUAGUUCUCGAGGUUUUAGGUAGCAGUCUAUACAAAAAGACUGGUGUUGAAUACUGGGAAAGUAAGGUGGCACAGCUAAGAACAAAUGGUGGCGAGGACAUUAAGAAACAUUUGGAAAUGUGCUAUCAUGAAUUAGAUCAGACAGAAAAGAAAAUAUUUCUUGAUAUAGCAUGUUUCUUUGGACGGUGCAAGAAGGAUUUUCUCCAGCAAACACUAGAUCUUGAAGAAAGAAGUGGGAUAGAUCGUCUCGCUGAUAUGUGUCUCAUAAAAAUUGUUCAAGACAAGAUCAAGAUGCAUGAUGUGCUCCUAAAACUAGGGAAAAAAAUUGUCCUCCAAGAAAACGUUGACCCUAGAGAACGUAGCAGGUUGUGGGAGGCUGAUGAUAUCUAUCGUGUAUUAACAACUCAGGUAACGUUUCCAAGUGAUUUAAUUGGCUGUUUCUUGACUUUCUUGUUUAUAGCUAAGAGAUGUAGCCUUGAACAAGAAUAAAUAUCAAGGCCAGCUUCUUCUUUCUUCUUCUUUAUUUGUUAUAUAUAUACUGAUUUACAGUUUGCUUUAAUUUGUUAAAUAGGGGACUGGAUCAAAAGUGGAAAGCAUAUCCCUCAUCUUGGAUGCAACUAAAGAUCAAUUGACAUUAACUCCUACAGCAUUUGAAGGGAUGUAUAAUUUAAGAUUGCUCAAAAUCUACAACCCACCUUUCUUAAAGGAUCCCUCAAAGGAGCAAAUUAUGAAUGGAAAGAGGGUCGGAAUCCACCUUCCACGAGGGCUUCACUUUCUGUCAAGUGAGCUAAGGUUUCUCUAUUGGUAUAAUUACCCUUUGAAAUCCUUUCCAUCAAUUUUUUUCCCUGAGAAACUUGUUCAACUUGAAAUGCCUUGUAGCCAGCUUGAACAACUUUGGAAUGAAGGCCAGGUAUGCUUUAUCAUCCUUCUUUUUCGAAUAUAGGACAUUUUUGAAAUUAUUCAUAACGCUUAUCUUUUCUUACAUUGCCUCUUUUUUUAUUUACAGCCACUUGAGCAGUUGAAAUCUCUUAAAUCACUUAAUCUUCAUGGUUGCUCAAGACUAGCAAGUCUACCACAUAGUAUUGGCAUGUUGAAAUCUCUUGACCAGCUUGAUCUUAGUGGUUGCUCAAGUCUAACAAGUCUACCGAAAAACAUUGACGCGUUAAAAUCUCUAAAAUUGCUUAAUCUUAGUGGUUGCUCAAGACUAGCAAGUCUACCAAAUAGUAUUGGCGUGUUGAAAUCUCUUGACCAGCUUGAUCUUAGUGGUUGCUCAAGACUAGCAAGUCUACCAGACAGUAUUGGCGCAUUGAAAUCUCUUAAAUCACUUAAUCUUAGUGGUUUCUCAAGACUAGCAAGUCUACCAAAAAGCAUUGGCAUGUUGAAAUCUCUUGACCAAUUUGAUCUUAGUGAUUGCUCACGACUAGCAAGUCUACUAGAAAGCAUUGGCGCGUUCAAAUCUCUUAAAUCACUUAAUCUUAGUGGUUGCUCAAGACUAGCAAGUCUACCAAAUAGCAUUGGCAUGUUGAAAUCUCUUAAAUUGCUUAAACUUCAUGGUUGCUCAGGACUAGCAAGUUUACCAGACAACAUUGGCGAGUUGAAAUCUCUUACAUCGUUUAAUCUUAGUGGUUGCUCAGGACUAGCAAGUCUACCUGACAGCAUUGGGGUGUUGAAAUGUCUUGCUAAACUUCACCUUACUGGUUGCUCAGGACUCGCAAGUUUACCAGACAGCAUUGACAAAUUGAAAUGUCUUGAUACGCUUCAUCUUAGUGGUUGCUCAAGACUAGCAAUUCUACCCAACAACAUUGGCGCAUUGAAAUCUCUUUACCAGCUUCAUCUUAGUGGUUGCUCAAGACUAGAAAGUCUACCCGACAGCAUUGGAGGGUUGGAAUGUCUUGCUAAGCUUCACCUUACUGGUUGCUCAGGACUAACAAGUCUACCAGACAGCAUUGACAGGUUGAAAUGUCUUGAUACACUUCAUCUUAGUGGUUGCUCAGGACUAGCAAAUCUACCAAACAAUAUUAACAGUUUGAACUAUCUUAUUGUGCUUAAUCUUUGUGGUUUCUCAAGACUAGCAAGUCUACCAAACAACAUUGGCGAGUUGAAAUCUCUUAAAUUGCUUUAUCUUAGUGGUUGCUCAAGACUAGCAAGUCUACCAGAUAGAAUUGAUGAGUUGAAAUCUCUUAAAUCGCUUAAUCUUAAUGGUUGCUCACUAGCAAAGUCUACCAGACAGAAUUGGCGAGUUGAAAUCUCUUGAAUGGCUUAAUCUUCAUGAUUGCUCAGGACUAACAAGUCUACCAGAUAGAAUUGUCGAGUUGAAAUCUCUUAAAUCCCUUAAUCUUAAUGGAUGCUCAAGACUAGAAAGUCUACCAGACAACAUUGGCGAGUUGAGAUGUCUUACUAUGCUUAAUCUUAGUGGUUGCUUAAAACUAACAAGUCUACCCAAUAGCAUUGGUACGUUGAAAAGGCUUUAUGCGCUUCACCUUACUGGUUGCUCAGGACUAGAAAGUCUACCAGACAGCAUUGACGAGUUGAGAUGUCUUACUACGCUCGAUCUUAGUGGUUGCUUAAAACUAGCGAGUCUUCCAAACAACAUCAUUGAUCUUGAAUUUAAAGGACUUGACAAACAGCAUUGUUAUAUGUUGAGUGGAUUCCAGAAAGUAGAAGAAAUUGCAUCAUCCACCUAUAAAUUAGGCUGCCAUGAAUUUUUAAAUUUGGGAAAUUCUCGUGUGUUAAAAACUCCAGAGAGAUUAGGCUCUUUGGUGUGGCUAACAGAAUUAAGAUUAUCUGGGAUUGAUUUUGAGAGGAUACCUGCCAGCAUCAAGCACCUUACUAAGCUAAGUAAACUCUAUUUAGAUGAUUGCAAGCGGCUUCGAUGUUUACCAGAGCUUUCAUCGACUCUACAAGUUUUAAUCGCAUCAGGUUGUAUCUCUCUAAAAUCUGUAGCAAGUAUAUUCAUGCAAGGUGAUAGAGAAUAUGAUGCUGCUUCUCAGGAAUUCAAUUUCUCUGGAUGCCUCCAACUAGAUCAAAAUUCACGCACUAGAAUUAUGAGUGCUACCCGUUUACGAAUUCAACGCAUGGCAACAUCAUUGUUUUCUCAAGUGAAUUCUUCCUCCCUUGAUCUUGAUUUAUUUAAAAAAAAUCAUGAUAAUUUUUUAUAUGUAUCUCACAUUCUCACUCUCUUCGGUGCAGGAAUAUCAUGGUAAGCCCAUUAGAGUUCGGUUGUGUAUUCCUGGGUCGGAAGUCCCGGAGUGGUUUAGUUAUAAGAAUAGAGAAGGAUCGUCAGUAAAAAUCCGGCAACUAGCUCAUUGGUAUCGUCGUUUCACUUUAUGCGCUGUUGUUUCAUUUGGCCAAAGCGGGGAAAGGCGUCCCGUUAAUAUUAAAUGUGAAUGCCAUUUGAUAAGCAAAGAUGGAACCCAGAUUGAUCUCAGUUCCUACUUCUAUGAAAUAUAUGAAGAAAAGGUGAGGAGUUUAUGGGAAAGGGAGCAUGUGUUCAUUUGGAGUGUCCACUCUAAGUGCUUUUUCAAGGAGGCCUCGUUUCAAUUCAAAUCACCGUGGGGAGCUACUGAUGUGGUGGUUGGGUGUGGAGUCCAUCCAAUGUUGGUCAACGAGCCUGAGCAACCAAUCCCUAAAACUGAUGGAAAAUGCUUGACAAACUCUUAAUCAUCUUCUAUUUGAAAGGGCAACGUGAUGCUAUGGAUGCAUGGUUUCGCUCGUUGACACUGGUAACUCAUGAUCUUCUCCUUUCUUUUUCUAUACAAAUAUGAGGCAACUCAAUUGGAUUGAAUCAAACAUGAAACCAAAUACUCUUAUGAAUUAGAGAUGAAAAGGAUAUAUUUAUCCUCCUACUUUAACAUGAUUCUUAACCAGGUCCCCGAACAAACAAAAUAAUAAUUAUAAAAAAAAAUUAAAUUAAGUUUUGACUCGGGUUAUUUUUUGUUUUUUUAAUAGAUUUUUUCUCAACUUCAUCUUUCAACAUUGAGUUGAUUAAAAAUUUAAAUUUAUGUAUUUUUUAUUGGCUUUCUACUGGGUUAUUGUAGUCUCAAGACCCGGGUCACAAGUUUGCGGGUUAGCAAGGUUGGCUUGAGUUUUUUUUUUUUUUUUUAAUUGAAUUUUUUUUUUCAUUUUCAUCCUUCAACAUUGGGUUGAUUGAAAAUUUGACUUAAUAUUUUAUUUUAUUUUAUUCUAUAUAUUUAUCUUGGUCUCAUAAUCCGAGUUUGGCAAGUUAACUUAAGUUGACUCAAGAUGUUUUUUUAAUUGAUUCUUUUCAAUUGAAUCCUUUAACAUUUGGUUGAUUGAAAAUUGUGCUUUGAAAUUUUUUUUCUAUAGGAUUAUCAUGGUCUCAUGACCCGGGUCGAUGGUUAGCUCGAUUGCCUCAAGUUUUUUUGUGUUCUUUUUAAAUGCAUAUGUUUUUCAAUUUCAUCCAUUAAUAUUGGGUUAAUUGAGAAUUAGGCUUCAUAAUUUAUUUUAGUUUGCUUUCUAUGAAGAUAUCCCGAUAACAUGACUCGGGUCACAGGUUUCGUUUGUUAACUCGGUUUGUUUUUUCGUGUUUCUUGUUAAUUGUUUUUUUUAACAAUUUUAUUCUUCAACAUUAGGCUGAUUGUGAAUUCAGUUUCCUUAUUUUGAUCUGACGAGCAUUGUAGCACGGGAAAUUAUCUAGUAUUAACCAUAAAAUAAAAGAGGAGAGGUUUUUAUUGUACCUCUCCUCACAAAGCACUAUUCAUUGGACUAAUGAUUUGCUUUUUUUUUUCUUUGCUUUUUUUUUUCAAUCAAUGUUUUUUUUUUAGUUUUAUCCUUCAAUUUUAAAUUUAUUUUUUUAUAAAGUUAUCUCACUCUCAUAACAAAAAUCGCUAGUUUGAUACAUGUCAAAUCAUGUUGACCAGGGUAAAAAUGAGUUUCAAACCGUUUUGGGUCAAAACUAUCAUUUUCAAUCAAAUUAGGUUUAUUGAGAUAACUUUUACACAAUUUAAUUUUAAAUCAAAAUCAGACAAGAAGUUAGGUUUGAAGGUUUUUUUUUCUUAAUUUUAUUUUUUUUAAUUUUAUCCUUAUAUUUUUUUACAGGAUAACGGGGAUGCCUUUGAACUUUAAUUUUAAACUUAGGUUAGGUAAAAAGUCAGAUUAAGAAAAUUUUAAAUUGAAUCAUUAGGCUGAAUUUAAUAAAAAUAUCAAGUAGUUCUCAACGACUUGAAUACUUUUUAUUAUAUUAAAAAAUAAUUAUACAGCCUCCAGCAAACUAAUAAAUAAUAUUUAGAAGACUUCGGAGUAAUUUAUAAGUAAUUAAAGUAGAAAUAGAAAAACAAAACAAAAAAAAUCUAAAUGGGCUUCGAUCUGUUACCAAUCAGACCAUACCAGUACAUAACCCAAAACCAAAGGCCGAAUUCAUUCUAUCUAUCCAAGCCGAAGGCCCAACUCUACCAUUUCAAAUUAAAACGCUCCGUCCCUCCCAAUCCCAAACCUAAACAAACAACAUCAUAUAGCCGUUAGAAACCAACAGCUCCCAUUUCAAGCUUCAAAUUCCCAAUUUUAAACCCUAAAAAUCUUUCACCUUUCUAAUUUUCUCCCUCUCUCAAUUUCAAGCCCUAAAACAUGAACGGUACUCCCAUCUAUUUCUCUGUAUCGAUCGAUACGCAUAAAUUGAAUUAUUUUAUUUUAUUUUUAUGGUUCUUGUUUUAUAGAUCGAAAUUGUUUGAUUUCUCUCAGAUCUGACAGUCCAAAUGAUUGAAGAGAUAUGCGAUCGUUCAAGACCGUUCAAAUUUCCGAUUCCAGCCCUUCUCUCUCUUCGACCACAGGUUAGAAGAAGUAGCUUCACUUUGUUUAAUUAAUAUUUCUCUGAAAUUGAUUUUUUAAAAAAAUUUCAGUUGAAUCUGUAGAAGAUAAGAAAUUCGAUACAGGUUCUUGUUUUUAUAAAAAUAUAUAUAUUAGAAAUUAUUUGUUUAAGUACUGAUUAUCAGUUUAUUUUUUUAUAUUUUUUGCUUCUGCUUAGACUUAGAAAUUGUAAUUUUGAAUUAUUUAAUUUUAUUUGUUAUUGAAUUUAAUUGUUUAUUUAUCUUUUUAAUUCUAGGGUUUCUAAAAUUUUUAAAGUCGUUUUUAAUCAAGAGAAAAAAAGAGAGUUAAAUUGAGUCAAAUUCGGUGCUGUAGAACUGUAGACAUUUGUAUUUUAUAUUGAAAUUGUUUUGACUGAAAAAGGUUAUUUUGAUUUUAAUGAGUUUUCAGGAGAAACUAUUAAUUCGGAGGAGGAGAGCGUAUCAAAUAGAAUUCGACAAGUUUACCCAUCUCAGGGGCCAACACCGCCCAUUUUGCAGAAAAUUAUCAAUUUAAGUGAUAAAAUUCAGGUACUUAUUUUGAACUUUGGUGUUGUUGGGUAUCGUAUAGAUGACUUGAAAAGACUUGGUUUUAGUUGUAGAAUUCAGGCAAUUUUAAAUUUCAUUGUUUUAGCUAGUAAAUUAGGAUUUUGCAUUAUUAUGUUGAUGGGGGUAUUGAUUUGUUUUCUUUCUUUGAAUUUAAUUGUUGUUGUUUCAGAAUUUGAAGAAAGAACACUCAAAUCUCUCUAAUCAAGUAAAGACUGCCAAGGAUUCCUUUCUUGGCCCCAAUAUUUUAGACACCCUUCAAAAACUCGGUGAGUAUCCAAUAGUGAAACUAAUUUAUUUCUUCUUUUCAUUUUUUAUUUUUUUUUGAGGGGUUUGGUUUGAUAGUUUACUAGUUGAAAUAUUGGUCAGGUAAUGAAUAUGAACUUCUUAAAAAGAAGUAUCUACAAGAGUUGUCUGAGAGGAAGAGGCUUUACAAUGAGGUGAUCGAGCUUAAAGGGAAUAUUAGGGUCUUCUGUAGAUGCAGACCACUAAAUCAAGUCGAAAUAACAAAUGGUUCGAACUAUGUAGUUGAAUUUGACUCUUCCCAAGAUAAUGAGUUGCAGAUCAUUUCCUCUGAUUCUUCCAAAAAGCAAUUUAAGUUCGACCAUGUUUUUGGGCCUGAGGAUAAUCAAGGUGAUCUGAUGUUUUAUUUUAUGUAUUGCUACUGCAGCCAUCCUGUUAAAGAUUAUUUGUGCAAUUGAAGCAUCUAAUCCUUUGUCUCUAUGAUAUGCAGAGGCUGUUUUUGCACAAACUAAACCAAUAGUCGCUUCAGUUUUGGAUGGCUACAAUGUCUGCAUAUUCGCCUAUGGACAAACUGGAACUGGAAAGACGUUUACUAUUGAGGGCAGCCCAGAAAAUAGGGGAGUGAACUACAGAACAUUAGAUGAGUUGUUCCGAGUUUCUCAAGAGAGAAGUGGCAUUAUGAGAUAUGGUCUUUUUGUUAGUAUGAUGGAGGUUUACAAUGAGAAGAUAAGGGACCUCUUGAUUGAUAGUUCCAACCAACCGCCUAAAAAGUUAGUUUCCUCUUUUAUUGCUACUGUAUUGAUCUGAUAAUCAAAAUAUAGUCAUUUAUGUUGAAUUUUUUGGUUGCGAAAAUUUUAUAUUAAUAAUUUUCUGUAGCUCUGAUUUAUAUCAUUUUGCUACUAGAUGAUAAUUAACUAUUGGUUAGUACAAACAUCAUGCGUGUGGCUAUUUGACAAGAAAAGUGGAACAUGGAAGUUCUGUAUUAGCCCAAUUUUCAUUUGAGCACUCUAUCUGCAAAUGAUAAUAAAUUCCUUGCUCCUCUCUAGUGUAGAUAAGCAUGACAUCUAAUUGGGUUUAGGGUUUAAAAGAUUAUGUACAAGACUCCUAUUUGGAAGCCCAUUGGUAUGAAAGAUUUAAAGUCUAACGAUAAGAAAUUGAGUUACAUGAAUGAAGUUUGAUGAAAUUUUAGUUUUUCUUACAUGCAUAAAGGUUGGAGAUAAAACAAACAGCUGAAGGAACACAAGAAGUCCCAGGACUUGUUGAAACUCGGGUGACUGUCACAGAGGAUGUGUGGGAUUUACUCAAGUCUGGAAGUCGGGCCAGGUCUGUUGGAUCAACCAGCGCUAAUGAGCUUAGCAGCCGUUCUCAUUGGUAAAAAUGAACUCUGCUUUCUUUUCUUGGUUUAUUCUUUCUAAGAAUAUACUUUAUGGAUCACAUAUAAUAGCAAAUUAACUAGUUUUUUGUAUCUGUGAAUUAACUAUUCAAGAAAUAUACUGAUUAAUUGAAGUGGUAGUACUAAUGACCACAACAUUGUUGGUCCGUAAUUUGUUGCGAGUAACAGUGAAAGGAGAGAAUUUAAUAGAUGGACAAAAGACAAGAAGUCACCUAUGGAUGGUCGAUUUGGCUGGUAGUGAACGUGUGGGAAAGAUUGAUGUUGA